rnacentral:rRNA from 1 species
UAGUCCACGCCGUAAACGAUGAGUGUUAGAUGUCGGGCUUAAGUUCGGUGUCACAGCUAACGCGUUAAACACUCCGCCUGGGGAGUACGGUCGCAAGACUAAAACUCAAAGGAAUUGACGGGGACCCGCACAAGCGGUGGAGCAUGUGGUUUAAUUCGAUGCAACGCGAAGAACCUUACCACCCUUUGACAUCUUGGUUAAGGAUUAUAGAGAUAUUUUCCGUCAGUUCGGCUGGACCAAUGACAGGUGUUGCAUGGCUGUCGUCGGCUCGUGUCGUGAGAUGUUGGGUUAAGUCCCGCAACGAGCGCAACCCUCGCCUUUAGUUGCCAGCAUUUAGUUGGGCACUCUAGAGGGACUGCCGGUGAUAAGCCGGAGGAAGGUGGGGAUGACGUCAAGUCCUCAUGGCCCUUACGGGCUGGGCUACACACGUGCUACAAUGGUGGUGACAGUGGGCAGCGAGAUCGCAAGGUCGAGCUAAUCUCCAAAAACCAUCUCAGUUCGGAUUGUUCU